UACGUAGGCAGCGAGCGUUGGUCGGAAUUACUGGGCGUAAAGAGUGUGUAGGCGGUGCUCUAAGUUCGGUGUGAAAUCUCCUGGCUCAACUGGGAGGGUGCGCCGGAAACUGGAGUGCUUGAGCGUGGGAGAGGAAAGCGGAAUUCCUGGUGUAGCGGUGAAAUGCGUAGAUAUCAGGAGGAACACCUGUGGUGUAGACGGCUUUCUGGACCAUAGCUGACGCUGAGACACGAAAGCGUGGGUAGCAAACAGG
rnacentral:rRNA from 1 species